rnacentral:rRNA from 1 species
CCAGCUCCAAUAGCGUAUAUUAAAGUUGUUGCAGUUAAAAAGCUCGUAGUUGAAUUUCUGGGUUCUCCGCUGCGUCUGCUUUGCAUGACGCGGCAGAGAAUUCAUCCUUGCAGUCAGCUGUCACGCAAGUGGCUGUCUACCUGCAUCCUUUACUGUGAGAAAAUUAGAGUGUUUAAAGCAGGCGUUUGCUUGAAUACAUUAGCAUGGAAUAAUGAGAUAGGGCCUCGGUACUAUUUUGUUGGUUGCGUGCCAGGGUAAUGAUUAAUAGGGACAGUUGGGGGUAUUCAUAUUUAACUGUCAGAGGUGAAAUUCUUGGAUUUGUUAAAGAUGAACAACUGCGAAAGCAUUUACCAAGGAUGUUUUCA